AAUGGGCGGAAGCCUGAACCAGCCAUGCCGCGUGAAGGACGAAGGCGUUCUGCGUUGUAAACUUCUUUUAUAAGGGAAGAAACCUACGAUUUCUAUUGUAGCCGACGGUACCUUAUGAAUAAGCACCGGCUAACUCCGUGCCAGCAGCCGCGGUAAUACGGAGGGUGCAAGCGUUAUCCGGAUUUACUGGGUUUAAAGGGUGUGUAGGCGGGCUUGUAAGUCAGGGGUGAAAUCCUACAGCUUAACUGUAGAACUGCCUUUGAUACUAUAAGUCUUGAAUAUUGUUGAGGUAGGCGGAAUACAUCAUGUAGCGGUGAAAUGCUUAGAUAUGAUGUAGAACACCGAUUGCGAAGGCAGCUUACUAAGCAAAUAUUGACGCUGAGGCACGAAAGCGUGGGGAUCAAA
rnacentral:rRNA from 1 species